rnacentral:pre_miRNA from 1 species
AGAAUGUUGCGUAGGCCAUUGCUUCGAAAAUCAAUAAUUAAUUCGUAGCAAUCUCCUCCGCAAUAUUUU